rnacentral:lncRNA from 1 species
AAAGUUUAUACUCAUUGAAACUUAUUAGUGUGUCUAUUUCCUCAUAUGCUUUCCAGCAACGAGUAAUUAUUUUUCUUUCUGAUCUGGUAUUUAGAUAGGAAACACAAGGAUUUAUAAAGAAAUAUAGCUUCGAUUCAGAAAUUGGCAGCAGCUUUGAGUGUGCACAAGCUCCCCUCUAGCUUGGCCCCAAUCAAGAGUGCGGGAGAUGAGGCAAUGAACGGAAGCUGUUUCCCCCAGAUGCUGCACGGAUGAUGUGGGGAGGAGUGUUGGGAAUCCUAGCUGAUGCUAAGUCAUCAGAGAUGGAAUCCAAGGUCAUGCUCCAGCGCCGCUCACAUCUCCUGCUUGCUCCUUAUCUGCGUGUCCAUCUAUCAUUGAAGAAAAUGAAACUGGUCUGCCCAGAUUUGAGCUGCACACACCGUUGGAGUGAGUGCACAUUUAUUGCUUGUUGCACACGAAGGGGACUUGUAUGAGGGCCUGUUCGGGAG